GUGAUCACUAACAUAUAUGCUGAAGUUGGAAUAAAUCAGACAAGAUUGGCAUGGCACCUUUGCAAGGAUGGUUUGCAAAUUUGUGAUGUUAUUUUACUGCAU